AUGGUUACAAAACCAAGAACGAGAAUGGGUAAUGUUCGCCCCACCGUGACAGUGCUGCCCCCCUCCAGUGAGGAUCUGCAGCAGGGGAAGGCCACCCUCAUGUGUCUGGCCAACAAGGGCUUCCCCUCAGACUGGAGUCUGUCCUGGAAGGUGGAGGGCAGCAUUAACACCUUCACCUGGGAGGAGAACAAGAGCAGAGGAGUUAUGCAGAAGGACGGCUUCUAUAGCUGGAGCAGCACCCUGAGGCUCCCUGCAGACCAGUGGAGGAAGGUGGGCUCUGUGACCUGUGAGGCCACCCAGGGCUCCCAGACUGCAGUCACAGAGACACUGAGGAGAGACCAGUGCUCCCAGUACUGA